rnacentral:rRNA from 1 species
UACGUAGGGGGCAAGCGUUGUUCGGAAUUACUGGGCGUAAAGAGCGCGUAGGCGGCGCAGUGUGUUUGGUGUGAAAUCUCCCGGCUCAACCGGGAGGGGCCACCGAAAACUGCUGUGCUUCGGGUACGGGAGAGGGGAGUGGAAUUCCCGGUGUAGCGGUGAAAUGCGUAGAGAUCGGGAGGAACACCAGCGACGAAGGUGGCUCCCUGGACCGUUACCGACGCUGAGGCGCGAAAGCUAGGGGAGCAAACAG